rnacentral:rRNA from 1 species
UACGGAGGAUGCGAGCGUUAUCCGGAUUUAUUGGGUUUAAAGGGUGCGUAGGCGGAUCGUUAAGUCAGUGGUCAAAUUGAGGGGCUCAACCCCUUCCCGCCAUUGAAACUGGCGAUCUUGAGUGGAAGAGAAGUAUGCGGAAUGCGUGGUGUAGCGGUGAAAUGCAUAGAUAUCACGCAGAACCCCGAUUGCGAAGGCAGCAUGCCGGCUUCCUACUGACGCUGAAGCACGAAAGCAUGGGGAUCGAACAGG